UAAUGCGCCUAAAAGUUUAAUGCCAACCUUAAUAAUACAGCGAAGAAGGAGUUUUUCUCGAAAGGGAUUAAUUCGAUUGCGAUGCAUGUUUCUGGAUUCUGGAAGGCGUAACUUACAGAAAAACAAUCACCAAGUACAGUCCAGCUAAGCCAGUGCUCAGUACGAAGGCUUCCUUGAGGACUGCUUCAGGAUGUAAAAGUAACAAUGUCACCUGAGAUCCUGUGGCAGAUCCUGAUGGGAGUAGUCAAGGUUGAUGGCGAUGUGGCUGUCUUGAGGCUUGCACUCAAAUGCUAGAUGUUUAGGGACAUUGUCAGUGAGCCCAAAUUUAAAGAACAGGCUCACUUUUUGUGGCUUGACAGUCAUGAGAACUGGAUUGUGUUCUACAGACAACAGUUUCGGAUGCCCUACUGUCUGACUCAAUGCUUCCACUGUGGAGAAAUCUUUAAAGACUGUCCACCUGGCAAUGUUGGGGAAAAAAUAUUUACACAAGUUACAUAAUAAUAUACGAGCAUAUAUUUGACAUGACUUUAAUUCUCCUAUUCAUUAAAACUUAUAAGUAUACAAGUAUAGGUUUUGUCUUUAUUUCACUUGAUACUUGAUGCUAGUAUUGCAUCCCUAAGUUGAUGUUUCGAAUUAAAGUGCAGUUCACCUCACAGAUCUUUCAUAUUCUAAUGCUAAACAGGCUCUUUAAUAGGACUUAGGUCAGAUGAUGAUGGGGGUCACACAUUGUUUGAUUUCUUUCUUAUUUUAAUAAUUAAAAUAGUCAGUGAUGCUUUUUGCAGUAUGGGAUGGCAGUCAAAAUCAUUACUCUGCCACUUCUCCCUAAUGUUACAGUCUUGUUUGAACAUAGUGGCUAUUCACCAAUAAUCCAGAAUGACAUUCAUCUAUACUAUUUAGUGUAUUUUUGCAUGUCAAUAAAUAAAACUGUUUAAAAAUGUCUCUGUGUAUU